CCUACGGGAGGCAGCAGUGGGGAAUAUUGGACAAUGGGGGGAACCCUGAUCCAGCGACGCCGCGUGAGUGAAGAAGUAUUUCGGUAUGUAAAGCUCUAUCAGCAGGGAAGAAAGGAAUGACGGUACCUGACUAAGAAGCCCCGGCUAACUACGGGCCAGCAGCCGCGGUACUACGGCGGGGGCAAGCGUUAUCCGGAUUUACUGGGUGUAAAGGGAGCGUAGACGGUUACGCAAGUCUGGAGUGAAAGGCGGGGGACCAACCCCCGGACUGCCUUGGAAACUGUAUAACUGGAGUGCAGGAGAGGUAAGUGGAAUUCCUAGUGUAGCGGUGAAAUGCGUAGAUAUUAGGAGGAACACCAGGGGCGAAGGCGGCUUACUGGACUGUAACUGACGUUGAGGCUCGAAAGCGUGGGGAGCAAACAGGAUUAGAUACCCGAGUAGUC
rnacentral:rRNA from 1 species